rnacentral:rRNA from 1 species
UAGGGAAUAUUGGGCAAUGGAGGCAACUCUGACCCAGCAACACCGCGUGAAUGAUGAAGGUCUUCGGAUUGUAAAGUUCUGUGAUGGGGGACGAAGAAAGCGACGGUACCCCAAGAGCAAGCCACGGCUAACUACGUGCCAGCAGCCGCGGUAAUACGUAGGUGGCAAGCGUUGUCCGGAAUGACUGGGGCGUAAAGGGUACGUAGGUGGCUAUUCAAGUUAAUAGUGAAAUCCCGGGGCUCAACUCCGGUGCUACUGUUAAGACUGUUUAGCUUGAGUGCAGGAGGGGUAAGUAGAAUUCCUAGUGUAGCGGUGGAAUGCGUAGAUAUUAGGAAGAAUACC